rnacentral:lncRNA from 1 species
UCCCAGCCUGUGAUAUUUGUAGAGAUGUGAAGUGACUCCAAAAGCAGAUGAGGAGCUGUGGGAGGCACAGAUCUGGCUCAGAGAGAGACAGACCUGGGGAUGGUUUGGACCUAGGAUUGGACUGAGACUUUCUUUAUUAGCGUAAGAAAUAAGCAAAGUCUAAGAUGCAGCGCCUUUGCGUUCACACACUUGCUCACACUGCUGUCUGAAAUGGUCCUGGUCUUUAUCCCCAAACCUAAGGACACUUAAAACUCCCUUCUCAGAAGAUAGACACCAUCUUCUUGAUUUGACAAGUAAAAUUCACCAACUUUGCAUUUAAGAACAGAAAUAAUUGUAGGCACUUCAGUGGCUUGACACAAUUGUUUCCCUAGAGUUUAGGGUAACAGUCACAGAGAGGAAUAUUUACUUCUGUAGACGGAAGAAGAAAACAACAACAACCACCCAUCGUUAGUCUGUACGGCCUGUAACAGCAUGGUCCCGAGUCUGCAGAAAACUCUCUUCUUCAAAGAUUGGGUGCAGCUGCAUGUGCCUAUUUUUUCCUGCUUGAAAAAAGGCAAUUACUUGUCCUUCGUCUCAUCAAAAGAACAUUUUAAUGCACUUAGAAGUAUGGAACAUUAAAAAUGGAGGAUUAAAAACAGAUUAACACAACAGAUUCUGUUGCCUGACCAUGCUCUCCUGUCCAUUAUCAAAGGAAGGUAUUAGGACCAACCUCUCCAUGAAAGAUAACAUCAUAACUAACAUUAACUGAAUGGUAUGAGACAUUACCUUCAAGUAAAUACCACCAGAUUUCCUGAGAAUUUGAAGGUCUUCAAGAUUAUACACUUUUAGAUUCCUCUUCCCUCCGAUGCUGUUAAAAACAAAUCCAGAAGAACGCUGUGGCUGAGAUAAAUUAGCAGACUGCCAUGAAGCAAGCACGUCUGUCUUUUGAGAGGGGAACUCAAACUCCUGUUGAUUUCUGAUCUGAGCCUCUUGCAAAAAGCUUCAACAAACAGUUGUUUUUGUGACCAACAUAACAAGCAGUGUGACCAACAUAACAAGCAGGCAGGAUGUUGCCAGAUAGGUGACAAGGUGGGGUGUUUUUCUGAGCUGCAUCUUAAAUGACAGCACUGUCACAAGAACACAAUUUAUUAUCAGUUACACUAGCUUUGUCUUCUGGUAAUGAAUAAAGCUAACACUACCCAUUAAUAAACUACA